UCAUCAUUUACUCAAUUUUCUCAUUUCAUACACACACACACACACCGGCUGAAGACAGGAGAAGGAAGCAGAAAAAAUCGAGAAAGAAAGAAAAGAGAGAAAGGAAAAAGUAAAAAGUAAAAGGAAAAAGAAAGGAAAAAAAGGUAGGGUUAGUUAUUCCAAUUUCAACUUCAAUUUGACAAAUUUCUUGGUAUGUUUUAUUCUUAAUUUUUUUAGGGUUGCGAUUUAUUGGUUUAAUUUCCAGAUUGAAGGAAAGAAUAUUUGAAUUGGGAAGGCUACUUAUGUUAAGGAGAUGACGAGAAUAUUGAAAUCAUGACCAGUCCAUAACUUGGCAAAUAACAGUCGAAUUGGGCAGCUUUGGAGCCUGUCGAACCACUACAUUGAGCCACACGUCAUAGGUUGUAUGACAUCCUUUAUCAAAUUAUACAUUAUAUGAUCUUUUGGGAUACAUGUAGCUUAAAUCAGAAAAGUUCAAUAUGGACUCAUUAAAUAGUUGGUAUCUUUAGUAUAUUUGAGGAUUGUUGAUUGUAAAGCAAGUGAAUGUUGAUUUAUCAGUAUUUUAUUUGAAUAGUUUGUAUUUUGA